rnacentral:lncRNA from 1 species
AUUCUUGUUUUUUUCUGCUGAGGCUCUAGAGGGACACCUGUCAGACUGACCAAGGCCGAAGAUGGCUCCCUACCAGAGAGAUUCAACUGAGGGCUUGCGAUAGGUCUUGUGACAUUGCUAUUGAUCUUGAGACAUUCAUCUGAAGCAUGAUUGUCACUGGCUUCAAACUUUCCUCAUCAUAAGAGAGGGACUGGGUCUACUUCAAAUGUUUCGCACUAAUGAAGUUAACAUUCCCUUUCAUGGUGAGCUCUGCCCUCAUCAUGAGACCAUGCCCAGGCUAGUCUGCUGGAAGGAAGUCAGAGGCACACGGAAGAGAGCCACAUUCAGCCAAGGCCAUUCUAGACCAGUUGUUCCCUGUCACUUCACUAAUUGGCCACAGCACAAGGUACACGGAUGGAGCUGGAAGCCAUUAUCCUCAGCAAACUAAUGUAGGAACAGAAAACCAAAUAUUGCAUGUUCUUACUUAUAAGUGGGAGCUGAACAACGAGAACACAUGGACACAGGGAGGGAAACAACACACACUGGGGCCUGUCCAGCAGUAAGGUUGAGGCAGGGAAAGCAUUAGGAAAAAUAGCUAUGCAUGCUGGGCUGAAUACUGGGUGAUGGAUUGAUAGGUGCAGCAAACCACCAUGGCAUAUGUUUACCUUUGUAAGAAACCAGCACAUCCUGCACAUGUACCCUGGAACUUAAAAUAAAAAUUAAAAUGUUUUUUAAAAAAGUCAUGAUGUUUUCUCAGCAGCCCAGUUUACUUUUCCAGACCCCUCUGGCAUGUGUUACUCCAGAAAAAGGCCGGUGUGUGUGAA